GAGAUGCAUGGGACCUGUGCCCUCCUGCCACACACUGGGUAAACGGCAUCAUCUUCCCUCCCCCCUCAUCUAUUUCCUAACAAAAACCCAACGCGGGGCUCCUCACCACUCCCAGAAGGGCAGACCAGCAGCAUGGGCAGUUACCAACCUUUCCCAGGAGGAAUGCAACUGUUAUCUAUCGUCUGACUGCUGUCCUUUGCAAAAGGUGACCGUUGUAAGAAUUCAACAUGGAAACACAGCAAUUCUCAAGCAAUGAAAUUUGGAUCACGAAGGUAUCACAGAUGUGUGAAAGCACUGACAAAACAGCCAGCAUCAUGCUGACCUGCACUGGGACAGUCCAAAGGGAGAACAAAUUUGGCGUGGUGCAAUGCAGCAGUAGAGCUUCUAGGGAGGUGCAGGAUCUUCUCCUGUGCAUGAGCAUGCAAGUACAUCGCAAUGUUCAAGGUAAGGCAUUCCCCCACCUCCCAGGCAAGGCACCAGCAUCUCCCCUGCCAUCAGCCUGCAGGUCUUAUGCAAAAUCAGAGCUGUUUUCACACUACUCAUGUGGAGCAUUUAAUAUGCCUCCAUUCCUAAUGAUGGCUGGGACGUCAGUAGGCGCAGUGCUUGGGAGAACGGCAAGAAGCGCAUGUCCUCCACUGCUACUGCCCUGCUGGUUAGGGAGGGAGAGUGGGCAAGAGUGUGCAAAGUGCAGCACACAGACAGACCUCUGUUCUGGAAAUAGAGACAGCAAGAAAACCCCCAUUUCACUUGACCACCUCAUUGCAGCGACCACAGAAACAAUUUUCCAAGUCGUAUGCAGUUAGGAACAAUUACUGUCCACGAUCCCCUUUGCCCUCCAAAAUUCACUGCAACCAUCAAUUUGCUUUGCUCCUGCCUGCCAAAAGCAGCAAUUACCCUCCUGGAGCAUUAUUUAAGAAACAAAAGGACUUCUGACAAUCUGCCUGCCAUCACUGGAGCCAGCCAGGUGGAAAAGGGAGCCCCAGAGGAGCUGUGCCUGCAGGAAUCACAGCAUCGUAGAAUCACUAAGGUAGGAUAAGACCUCAUCUACUCCAACCAUAAAGGAGGAUACUGAGAGCCUGUCCUGUGCUACACCAGCCUCAGGGCAUUGUCUGUCCUCCCCAGCAGGAUCUCAUCUCGAGCUUUGCUAGAGGGUUCAGUUGCUAGAAUGGGACCAAAACCAACUCGCUUUGAAAACAGAAUUUUAAUGCAUACUAAGGAAAGUUUGGUCCUGCCCCAGCGCAGCACCUUCUCCUCUCUUAUCAUCAGCAUCCACGUGAGAAAAAACAUCCCAUUGCUUGGGCAAUGCCUUACAUAAUGUUGUGUGUCCUCCUCACCACUGAGACAUC
rnacentral:lncRNA from 7 species